UACAGAGGGUGCGAGCGUUAAUCGGAGUUACUGGGCGUAAAGGGCGCGUAGGCGGUUAUAUGAGUGUGAUGUGAAAGCCCCGGGCUUAACCUGGGAAGUGCGUCGCAAACGAUAUAACUGGAGUAGAUGAGAGGGUGGCGGAAUUUCCGGUGUAGCGGUGAAAUGCGUAGAGAUCGGAAGGAACGUCGAUGGCGAAGGCAGCCACCUGGCAUCAUACUGACGCUGAGGCGCGAAAGCGUGGGUAGCGAACAGG
rnacentral:rRNA from 1 species